rnacentral:rRNA from 1 species
GAUGAAUGCUGGCGGCGCGCCUAACACAUGCAAGUCGAGCGGUAACAUGGACUUCGGUCUGAUGACGAGCGGCGGACGGCUGAGUAACGCGUGGGAACAUGCCCCAAAGUGAGGAAUAACUGCCCGAAAGGGUGGCUAAUGCCGCAUGUGAUCUUCGGAUUAAAGGAUUUAUCCGCUUUGGGAGUGGCCUGCGUACGAUUAGGUAGUUGGUGAGGUAAUGGCUCACCAAGCCUACGAUCGUUAACUGGUCUGAGAGGAUGAUCAGUCAGACUGGAACUGAGACACGGUCCAGACUCCUACGGGAGGCAGCAGUGAGGAAUCUUCCACAAUGGGCGAAAGCCUGAUGGAGCGACGCCGCGUGCAGGAUGAAGGCCUUCGGGUUGUAAACUGCUUUUAUAAGUGAAGAAUAUGACGGUAACUUAUGAAUAAGCACCGGCUAACUACGUGCCAGCCGCCGCUGUA